GCAGCAUGUUUGUUUCUACUGCAAAGAGGCUUCAUGCAUUGAAAAGUUCUGAACUUUCAACUCUACAAAUUGGUGAGAGUGAGAAAGAAAAGACAUCACUUAAUCCUGCUGUUCUUAUUUGAAAGGGAUGAGAGUUGCAGUUAAAUGGGGAAAUCUUUUUUGGUUAUGUUCAAGUGGAGAAGUGAAGUUCUGGUGGCACAAAAUUCUUCAAGUCUGUCAUUUUGUAAUCCUUUCAUGAAAAGUUGAUGAAUUAUUUGGGAUUAUUUGUUCCGAGUUACGAGCUAUGAAGGGGUUCAUACAGUGGGGCUGCCCGGCCCUAAAAUGAAUUUUUUUUA